rnacentral:rRNA from 2 species
GACAGAGGCCCCAAGCGUUAGGCGGAAUCACUGGGCUUAAAGCGUGUGUAGGCGGACGCCUAAGUGUCUUGUGAAAUCCCACGGCUCACCCGUGGAACUGCUGGGCAUACUGGGCGUCUUGGGCCAACUAGGGGCAGCCGGAACAAGCGGUGGAGCGGUGAAAUGCGUAGAUAUCGCUUGGAACGCCGAAGGUGAAAACAGGCUGCUGGGGUUGUGCCGACGCUGAGACACGAAAGCCAGGGGAGCAAACGGG